rnacentral:rRNA from 1 species
GGGUGCGAUCAUUUCAGCACUAAUGCAUCGGAUUCCAUCGAAACUUCGAAGUUAAGCGCUUGGGCGAGAAUAGUUCUAAGAUGAGCUUAGUUAUGUGGAAACUGCCCCCGGGUUCCAUACC